UACGUAGGGGGCAAGCGUUGUCCGGAUUUAUUGGGCGUAAAGAGCGUGUAGGCGGCCUGGUAGGUCAGCUGUGAAAACUCGAGGCUCAACCUCGAGACGCCGGUUGAAACCAUCUGGCUAGAGUCCGGAAGAGGAGAAUGGAAUUCCCGGUGUAGCGGUGAAAUGCGCAGAUAUCGGGAAGAACACCCGUGGCGAAGGCGGUUCUCUGGGACGGUACUGACGCUGAGACGCGAAAGCGUGGGGAGCGAACAGG
rnacentral:rRNA from 1 species